CUGAUCAAAAUGCGAUUGAAAGGUUACAAUUUUUAUUUUGCAUAAAAGGAAACGAGGCAAAACAUUUAUUGGAACCCUCUAAAAGUAACUGCUUUUUUGGUCCUUGCCUUGGUGAUUUAUAUUUAGUGUUUUUUGUGUUAGUCGUUAGCCGUUUUGUAUUGUACUUGUGCGUGAAGUAUUUGCAAGGCACAUGGUUGUCACAAGGUGUAGACAGUGGAGCUUUACGGUCAACUUUCCGGAGUGAAAUGUAUACCCUUUCUGGUUCCGUCGCUGUGUGAUGUAGUAAAAGAUUCCCCUGGCACUGUUUUUUCUGGGUGUUGCAUCUUAGAAGCCAAUGUGUUGAUUACCAUUUCAAGAUCAGAAGAGGAAGUGGUUAGCGAUUUUUAACGCCAUCUCUGCCCGUGUCGGAUACUUCCAGAAUGGCCAUCGUUCAGAAGCCUACCGUGCCACCUGCUCAAGCUUUCAGUAAUUAUUUGUUAAUCGGAUAUCAGAGGGCCGGAUACUUAGCAGCUCACAUUUGACAAACUCCAUUUCUUACCUCUGAAGAGUACCAUAGAGAGGGAACCCCAGUUCUACUUAGAUAUUUUCCUAGUACUACUACUGCAAUUUAUCAGCUACGCUCUACUGCAGUUGAACUUAUUCAAGCAGCUGAUUAAGCUCCCGGUAAGUUUUGUGGUCAUUACCACUGAUUUAUAUAGUUGCAUUUUGUAUCGAGUCAAAGUUUGGCUUUGUAUUGAUUCACUCAUUGACGUUUUCGUUUAGAGGACUUCUACAACAUUCUGGAAGAUGUGUUGACAUACCUUCAGUAUCUGAGGUUUAGCCGAUGAGAAAUUUUGAAUGUGAUUUGAAAUUAACAAAAGUUUAACUGUAGUUUCAUGUGUGAUUUACAACAAUUGCAUCCCAAUUCAGUCAAGGUAAAGGAGCAGAUGGCUUUUGAUAGAACAUAGAGUGUUUACGGUAUACGGAGCAAACCUCAGGAUACUGAAGUAGGUAUGUCAACACAUUUUGCAGAAUGUUGUAGCAGUUCUCUAAACGAAAACGUCAAUGAGUGAAUCAAUGUAAAGUCAGACUUUGACACGAGACAUGAUGCAACUAUAUAAUUUAGUGGAAAUGACCACCAAACUUAGCGGGAGCUUAAAUCAGCUGCUUGAAUAAGUACAAUUGCAGUAGAGAGAAUAUGCUGAUGAAUUUUAGUAGUAGUACUAGGAGUAUCUCAAGUAAAACUGGAGUUCCCUCUCUAUAGUGCUCUUCAGAGGUAAGAAAUGGAGUUUGUCAAAUCUGAGCUCUAAAGUAUCCGGUCCUCUGAUAUCUGAUUAAUGAAUAAUUACUGAAAAGCUUGUGGUGAGCAGUUAUAAGGUGACAAGACUACAAGGUUUCAAGGAGAAAUAAAAAACAUCAUAAUGGAAAA